rnacentral:rRNA from 1 species
AGAACGAACGCUGGCGGCACGCCUAACACAUGCAAGUCGAGCGCCCAGCAAUGGGAGCGGCGGACGGGUGAGUAACACGUGGGAACAUGCCUUUCGGUACGGAACAACUGCGGGAAACUGCAGCUAAUGCCGUAUACGCCCUUACGGGGAAAGAUUUAUCGCCGAAAGAUUGGCCCGCGUCUGAUUAGCUAGUUGGUGAGGUAACGGCUCACCAAGGCUUCGAUCAGUAGCUGGUUUGAGAGAACGACCAGCCACAUUGGGACUGAGACACGGCCCAAACUCCUACGGGAGGCAGCAGUGGGGAAUCUUGGACAAUGGGGAAACCCUGAUCCAGCGAUGCCGCGUGAGUGAUGAAGGCCUUCGGGUUGUAAAACUCGUUUCGACGGGGACGAUAAUGACGGUACCCGUAGAAGAAGCUCCGGCUAACUUCGUGCCAGCAGCCGC